rnacentral:rRNA from 1 species
GACGAACGCUGGCGGCGUGCUUAACACAUGCAAGUCGAACGGAAAGGCCCUGCUCUUGUGGGGUGCUCGAGUGGCGAACGGGUGAGUAACACGUGAGUAACCUGCCCUUGUCUUUGGGAUAACUUCAGGAAACUGGGGCUAAUACCGGAUAGGAGCUCCUGCUGCAUGGUGGUGGUUGGAAAGUUUCGGCGGUUGGGGAUGGACUCGCGGCUUAUGAGCUUGUUGGUGGGGUAGUGGCUUACCAAGGCUUUGACGGGUAGCCGGCCUGAGAGGGUGACCGGCGACAUUGGGACUGCGAUACGGCCCAGACUGCUACGGGAGGCAGCAGUGGGGAAUAUUGCAGAAUGGGCGGAAGCCUGAGGCAGCAACGCCGCGUGCGUGAUGACGGCCUACGGGUUGUAAACCGCUUUCGCCUGUGACGAAGCGUGAGUGACGGUAAUGGGUAAAGAAGCACCGGCUAACUACGUG